UACAGAGGUCUCAAGCGUUGUUCGGAUUCAUUGGGCGUAAAGGGCGCGUAGGCGGCGGGGUAAGUCGGGUGUGAAAUCUCAGAGCUCAACUCUGAAACUGCACUCGAUACUGCUCUGCUUGAGGACUGGAGAGGAGACUGGAAUUCACGGUGUAGCAGUGAAAUGCGUAGAUAUCGUAAGGAAGACCAGUGGCGAAGGCGGGUCUCUGGACAGUUCCUGACGCUGAGGCACGAAGGCCAGGGGGAGCAAACGGG
rnacentral:rRNA from 1 species